ACUGUUAAGAAUCUUGUGUGCACUAGCCUUUCUUUGAAAAAUUGCAUUCAAUGGAGCUCUCAAUAAGAGCAUAUGCAGAGAACUUUGUUGCUCUUGGCUGGUAAUCCCACGUGUUAAGAAACCUGCUCUCAUGUCUCUGCGUUAAUAUGCACUAGUAUGGAGCUACAUCUCUGAAUGUUUGGCCUGAGCUAAUGACAAUACAGGAUUUUCGCGAAGUCUAGUACUCCUAUUUCUUUCUUUCUGCUACUGGGGAAUGAUGGGUGCAAAUACUGGCAUCACCUGGGAAUAAAGAGAGAAUUCAUAGGUUUUUCAGGGCUCAAUAAGAAACACAAAGUUGAUCCCAAGGACUCUGGAAAAGUAGCGAGCGAUCCUAAUUACCCAUGUUUUAUACUUUCAUGUCUCAAUUAAAUGUGCCAUGAUUCCUUAUUAACAGGACUAUGCAAUCAUCAUUGAACCCGUAACUAGAUAUCAAAGUGAAAACAUUUGGGGUUUGAGAUGUUAAAUGUGACUAGCACACUUACCACAAUCUGAAGCUUAGAAUAUUUUCCGCACCUUGAGAUAAGAAUACAUAAGAAAAAAU
rnacentral:lncRNA from 1 species